GAGAGAGAGAGAGAGAGAGAGAGAGAGAGAGAGAGAAGAGAAAGAGAGAGAGAGAGAUUCUAAAACAUAUGCAGGUUGGCAAGGUGAUGGACAGACACGUGGAUAAAAUUGCAGACUGGGAGAGAAAAUUUAGUUGAGCCCAACUAUAAUUGAUAAGGAAAUUAGUAUCUUUAAGAAGACACAAGCAUUUCAGAUUAGGACAAUAAGACAAGUAUCUUGAGGGCAAGACACCACCCAUCCAAAGAUCCCGAGUGUAACAAUCCAGGCCCGUUUGAGCUGGAAGAACAUUCAUGGCAUUCUGCUGUAGGUGGACCACCUAGGGAAAUUUAAUUCCUAAGUUCAGCCAGGUAUGCAUUCGGAGGAUGGUUCAGCUGCAGCUCAAGAGUGGCGGGAGGAGAACUCGGUAUUAUUGCCUGUGUAGUCUUUGUUAUGCAGGCAUGCGUGAUGGGUAGUAUGGCAGGCAGGGAAGUGGUUAGAGCCACGCGGGCCAGCCAGACUGUAGCGGUGUCCAAUUCUCUGCACAGUGCUCGUGAGGUGUGUGAACUGUGAGGUUUUACCACAGACCACAGGAUAUGAAAAAUUUUACAGACUGUUUCCCAGGGAGAGCUGUGAGUGUGAAGUGGACCAGUUCAAUACAGAGAGCACGGUUACGGCACAGGACACCGGCAGAAGGGCGGAGCCACUCAGACACACUGGAGUCCAGAUAAUGCCAUCGUGAGCGCCAAAUGUCAGACACCGAGCUUUAGGUGUGGUGCUUGCUCUGAUACGUUCUGGCUUUGUUCUGUUCUUUACUUGCUAUACCCCCACCCCCUCUCUUUGUGAUAGGAAUAUUUCAACUUCGUGCUUUUGUAUUGGAGGCGUGUAGUUGAUUUCUACUUUUACAAGUGCUUAUAGUUAAGAGGGCCUUGGGUAUCAGAAAAGAUUUUGGAGUUUAGAUUUUUUGAAGAUUUAGAUUUUUUUCUGGGCUGUGCCUUAGAGGUUUGCAUUGUGUAGUUCUGAGGCUGAGGCUGAGGGUUUACCUUGUAAAUUCUAGGUGCUGUUGCUGGUCCAGACUCACACUGUGAGAACCUCUGUCACAACCUAAGGGGCUCUACACUAUCUUAAAUAUGAUUUCUUUUGUCUUUUUUAUUUUAUUUUAUUUUUGCUACUUGAAGACAUCCUAUGCCAUUUUUCUUUCCUUUGCAAUGUGGAGAGCUCUAUCCACGACAGAACCUAUUCAAUAGCACAGCAGAGAACCCAACAGACCAUGUUGACUUGUAGUUUGAUAUCCUCAAUUCAUCAGUUUAGCACCAAUGUUAUUUUGUAUUGUACCUUCUUAUUUAUGUCAAUUUCAAGUCUAGUGAUCUUAUCAGUGUUGUGCUAAAUUCAUGUAUAGGGCAUGAAAAUUCACAAGACGGAGUCUAUCAGGCUGUAGUAAAUUCUUUUUCUCUUGUGAUUACAGAAUGGAUUCUUGAUUACUGAGCUGCCCCAUCCCUCAGUUCAAUAGUAUCCAAGGCAGGAGGACCAUAGUUCUGGCAUCAGGCCAUGGAAGAGGUUGCUUACUCUAUCAAACCAUAGACAGCUAAGGGAUGUGCUUCUGUAGAAAACUGGGGUGGAGUGUGGAACUGAGCUAACUAUCUUGUUUUCUUCUCAUGUGUAGUUUUGAUGUUCAAUAAAACUAUACAUAAUUUGUAAUCCGUCUUGUUUGUAACCCUUAAUAUUUAGUUUCUAUUCUAAAUCUACAUUUUAUUUCUAUACAGAUUAAUAUCUUAACAUGAUAUCUAUGAUAGUGGCAGCCAUAGUCCUGGUCUGAUGUUUAUUUAUCUUUUCAUGGUCUUUCAGGGUUAGAAAAAAAAUUGUUUAUGCUCCUGCAAGUUGGAUUUUCUAUUGUUUCUAACUAAGUCCACGUCUUCACACAUCUCUUCAUAUAACCAGAAUUCAGAAGGUCUUGUGGGGAAAACUAUCUUUGAUUCCUCUCAGAGUUUGAAGAUUGCCUGUGGUCUGAAUUCCUCUUGGAUACCAACAGCAGGUGCAACCUUCAUCGUAAGAUGUGCUAGGGAGACGCAGAACACAAUAGAGGAUGUGGUGAACCCGAAAUAUUUCAUGAAACCAGAAAGAGGAUUGAAGAUCAGUUAGUAGCUUUUAAAGCACUGUUUUGGGUUAAAGCAUGGCACCUGUCUUCUGGAUAAGGACAUUGCCAUCUCCAGAAAGCCUGCUUUAAGUGGAGAGUUGUACAGUGUGACUGUGUCAAAUGCCUAGAGAAGAAAGAGCCUACAAACACAUGUAACAACGUUUAACAUACGUGAAGUUUUCCUUGCCUUUUCUUGGUAAAGGACUGCUUUUACUAUGAAUUUACUCAUUGUAAGACCAUGGACUAUUUUUUGUACUAUGGCAUGAUUUUUAAAGGACCCUCCUUGCUUUUGGAGUUUGCUCAUGUAUUAAACUAACGGUGUAUGGAUAAUUGAUUUGGCUAUACACUAUAUAUCAAAGUAAAUCCUAGUGUAAUAAGAUUAUUAUGACUGAAAACAUUUAAGUUGCUGAGACAAUUCUUAUUUUUAACACAUGAAUGCAUUACAACACCCCUCUUCUUUUGUCUCUGUAAUAUUAAUAUUAUCAUUAUCAUUAUUAAUUUAUUUGUAUUUGUGUUCUCAUAUGGGAGCACACCUACCUUGGGUCAUAUGCGGGGAUCAGAGGACAAUUUGUAGGAGUCGGUUCUCUCAGUGUAUCAUGUGGGUCUGAGGAUUGAACUCAAGUCCUUUAGGUUGGCAGCAGGACCUUUACUUCCUGAGCCAUCUCAUUAUCUGCCUGUGUUGUCAAUAUGGUUACUGCUACCUGGAUGAUGCUGUCAGCUCCAUAGCCCAAUCCUCUUCACCCUAGUGAAGUAAACAGCACAGGUCGGAAAUAUAGCUGUGAAGGUAUGUGAGAAUGCAAUACACACAUGUGUGCUUGUACAUGUGGGCACACCUGUGCACACACACAUACCCACAGUUUGUUUUUUUUUUGUUUGUGUUAGGGGAAAACACUUUGCAAAGUGAGACCUUAUCAACAGGAAAAAUAAUAAUGUUAUGUGGUUAUAGUCAUUUAAAUGAGUAUUUAUCACUUAACAUUUUUAAUAUAGUAAUUUUCAAAUAUAAACAAAUGGAGGGAAGGGUAACCCACAACCUCAGCCCUGCCAUUCUCCACCUUGCCUAUUACUUAACAUUCUAAUCCACCAUCGUUCUUGUUUGAAUUCAUGGUUGUUCCUAUGUACCGAUACAUGGACGUGCCUUACACAACCUCCUGAUUAUUUUGAAUGAAAUCCUAGACAUUGGAGAAUUUCAUCUGCAACUAAUUCAGCUUGUGUAUCUAAAUGAUAACAAAUUUCUUGAGCAUGCAGCCCUUAUCCUCACUAUAAAAAAACUUUAAAACCUGCCAGAAGUUCAUUGAUACCAAUUAAUAUUCAUCAUGUGCCUUAGUUUCUGCAUUGGAUUGAUUCAUUUGAUUGACUCAUUUGAAUUGAUUUUAUAAGCAAGUUUUUUCUAGACCAUGGUUUUUGACAUGGUGCUUGUUUCUUCUAAUAGACAGGUUUUCUGUACCUCCUUUUCUGUUUGCAAUGCAUUUGUUGAGGAAACCAUGCCAUCUGUCUUGUAGGGUUUCCUGAGCUUUUUUUUUCACUUUUCUAAAUGCUUCUUUGUGGUAUAAUUUAACAUGAGCGUUCUUUCACUGAAAAGUGCUAAAGAGAGCUAGAGGCCUUGUAUUGCUUUGUUCAGCACCCUUUAUUAGCUCUUGGAGUCUCAUGAUUUUUGUCCUUUGCAAGUAUGUGCAGCUAUGAAAAUUAACUUUAUUGGGAUAAUGUACCAUUAAAGAAUGCAUAAUUUAUAAGGCAAAAAUUUCUAGUAUUUCUUUUCACUGUAUAGAUCUUUUUCAGUAGGGCACACUGUUUAGAGAAAACCUUUGUAAUUAGCAAUUCAUUUCCUUUUCAGAACUCCUUUUUAAUGAGUAAUGUUGAAUUGUCUCUCGAGAUUGAACUCUUUUUUAUUGCCCCCCCCGGGUUUUUGUACUAGUAAAUUUAGCAACUAAAAUUAUGGGUAGUCUGACAGUUUAUAAGUGGCUUGAAUAUAGUAUUAUUCACAGACUAAAGACAAGAGAGCUGAAAGAACAAAUAAUACUCAUCUGUGUAGCAACAAGUAUCCUGGUGUGUUUGUUUAUACCUCAGAACAGUAGUUCUUAACCUGUAGUCAUGGCUCCUUUGGGGGUUGCAUAUGAGAUAUCCUGCAUAUCAGAUAUUUAUAUUAUGCAUAAUAAUAGUAGUAAAAUUACACUUAUGAAGUAGAAGCGAAGUAAUUCUUUUGGUUGGGGCCACUACAAUAUAGUAAGUGUAUUAAAGGGUCACAACAUUAGGAAGUUUGAGAACCUGCUUUAGAAGAAGUUGGUCCAAAAUAUUUCUACUCAUAUGAACUAAAGUUAUAAUAACCAAAAGCAUCAGCUCAGUGACAGCUUAAAGGCAUUAACUUACUGAAAACCAAAUGAUCUCAAAGAACUUAUUUUAAAUGCAACUAAUUUUAAGCUCACUGGCUCUGGCCAUUUGAUCAUAUCUAAGUCUCCAGCCAUGCCACUGUUUGCCCUUUGACACACAACCCUGUUUUUUUCCAGUGCCCUGUACAACCACAUUGGCCACCACCCUCAUGUUUCCAAAUAGCUUUAGAUUUCAGACUAGGUUUAUGGAAAACAGUAGAAAAGAAAGUUGACGCCAUGGAUACCUCACAAGGAUUAUUGAGUCCUUCUAUCUAUUUUCUUUUGAAGAAUCUAUAGAAGCUCGUGGUUGGUUACUUCCACAAUGCUUGUACCACCAUUGCACCAGCACAUCAUGCAGGAUUUACAAAUCUUCACAUGGCAUUUUAGAGCUGAAAAAGGCUUUGGAUGGAAAUGGAAUUUGAAAAAAAAUACACAUUCAGUUCAAGAUGCCGAAGAUGCACCAAGCAAACAUAAGUCCCAUGAGAACGAAGACAUUAAUAAUAAUGAAAGAGAAAUCAAUAGAAUAUGGAAGUGAAAACAAGAAACUAUAUGUUUCUAACAAACUAUGACAAGCAAAAGAGAAAAAGUUGGAUGAGAAAUAUCACAGUGUGAAAAAGAAAACUGUGGAAGAGUAGAUUGUAAAUAAGCUACCAUCUAUGUAUCUAUCUAUGUAUCCUUCUGUCUGCACAUGUAUCUAUCUAUCUACUCAUGUAUAUGCGUAAACAUAAACAUAUGCAUACUAGCCUAUAUAUACACAUAUAUGCAUGUGCAUGUAGGCAUACACAUGCGUACAUUUGUGAACCUUUAUGAAGCCAUGAAGUGUUUAGAAAUACAUAAGUUCUCAAACUGAAGAACUUAUUUUUCAUUUCCACGUAGACCUCAUUUGCCAUCAGACUUUUGCAGCAUCUAGUCUUUCAUAGAAAUUUUCUGCUACAUUUUCCAGGAAAAAUAAACAUAAUUUUAUUUCUCAGAAAAGGAGAAUACUUACAACUUUAUUUGAUGAGUUGAAUGAAAUAUUGAUCAUAAUGUUCGAUAAAGGCAAUGAAAGAAACUUACACAAAUUUAAUUGCAAACACACGUGCUAAUAUUAAGUGAGGUACUAGCUAAUUAAACACUUGGUUACUAAAGAAUAUCUCAUUUUAGGUUAAAUUUCUGCAUGAGUGCAGUAAAGUUUUAAUGUAAGAAAGUUUAUCAAUAGAGCUCACUUUAUUAAUAGAAAAACAUAUUUUCUAUUGAUACAUUCAAUAUAAAUAAUCAAUAAAUUUAAACAGAGUCCAUCGAUGAAUGAACAAGUUCUAAUGUGUAUGUUCAAACCUUGCUAAUGUUGUACAUUCGAAGGCGCCUAAGACAAGCUUAGAAUUCUUUUAAUGGUUUUUGUCUCUUCAUUUAAUUCACUAUAUUUUUAAAUUAAAGUUAUUUUUCCAUCCAUUAAGGAGAAAUACAUUAAAUAAGACAGAAUUCUGCUGAAAUAUCAAAUGACUGGGCAGGAAAUGGCCAAGGAGAAGAUGGAUUACAGCCUAAGGCACAGUGGGAUGAGACCCACAGAGAUCAAUAUUAAGGCGUUUGUAGGCUAAGCCCUUGACUUUUAGUUGUCUGAAAUUUCACUUCUUAACCAACUGAAUUUUGACAAUUAAAUGAUAUAUUGUUUGAGAAUUUCAAAUAAAGUAUUUUGAUGAUAAUCAUCACAGCUUACCUGUUUACUCAUCCAGACCCACCCAACCUCCCAAACCCUCCAACUUGUCCUCUUUUAAAAUAUUUAAUAACUGAUCAAUUCUAAUUAGUGCUGUCAAUAUAAAUAGAUAUGGGGCCACUGCAGCGUGUCCAUAAGCCACAUAAUGAAUGAAAACUGAUUCUUCCUCUCCAGCACCAUCAACUGUCAAUAGCUUUUCAAAAUAGGAUAGAAGACUUGAGAAGUCUUCCCCACGCCACAUUAAAAUGUUACUGGCUUGAUUUUGUUCAUGUCGUGUAUAGGCAAUCGCACAGCUGCUGUAGCUCAUGGGUACGGUAGCUCUGUCAUGUCCAGCUCUGGUCUCUCUCUGACCUCUGGCUCUUAUGUAUUUCUUCCUUGUCUUCUGCAUUGGUCCCUGAGCUGUCCCUGAGCUGGGUUGGAGAGGGGUAGAGUACAGAUGUCCUCUUUGUGGCUAAGCACUCUGCUGACAACUAUUCUCUGCACUGUGAUCAAUUGUGAGUUGCUGACUAACAGUUGUUGGCUGCACAAAAAGCUACUCUGAUAAAGACUAAAAGGUGCACCAAUCUAUGAGCAUAGAGACAUGUAUUGCAGGACAGUUUGUUACCCUGUCAAUUUAUCAAAAUUAUAAAACGAGCUUCAUCCCUAGGACCCAUGAGGUCCUCAACCAUGGGAAUUCAGCUGGAUUUAUACUACAAAACAUGUGUUUCCUACUGUGGAACAGGCCUAAGAUCCAGGCAGAAACUUGGUAACUCUCAUAACAUUCAUGCCACUAUUGAUACGCCGGUGUCACAUUAGUGACACACCAGUGUAUAUCUUGACACACCAGUCUUUAUUGCGGUUCACAGACUGAGUAAGAACACGAUGACUCUCUCCUGCUCCCCUGGAGAGCGCUUCCAGUACUGUGAAAGCUAGCUAGCAGUCAAGAAGUUUCCUAGGCAGUACUGACUUGACUUACUCGUGUCCUAUGAUCAGUGUGUGUCUUCAGCAAUAGAGUUUCACCAUCAAAUUCUGAUAGGCAACCAGGAGCAAUAACUAUGACAUGUACUUUUUUCCAGUCCUUGGAAUACCAACAACUCAGAAGGAGUUAUUCUAUGCCUGGGAUUAGGCUUUUUAUUUGGCAACCUGUAGUUUCUGGGAUUAGCAUUAUCCCUUGUUUAGAGAAACUGUUACAUACACACACACACACACACACACACACACACACACACACACACUCCAUUCACAAUUAAAGACCAGCUGUAUUCAUCUAUUGCUACUAGUUUCUCAAUGUUUCUUUGAAAUGUACUGAACAUUAAAUAUUCCAAUAAACACCUUUUGUUCUUAAAUAUUUGAUAAGGGAAACUUUUAAAGUGACUUAAUAGGGCUUUGUACUCUCAGGUCCAGCAGAUGAUUAAAGCCAUAUCUUCUCAAAUGGAGUUUUCAGACACACCAUUCCAUAUUAAGGGGCUCUUUCUUCUUUUCUUUUUGAUUCUUCUCUCAUAUAAUACAGUCCAACUGCAGUUUUCCCUCUCCACACUCCUUCAGUUCUUCUCCCAUCCUCUCUCUUACCCAAAUCCACCGCUCCUCUGUUACCUUUGAGAAAAGAGCGGGCUCCCAGGGAUGUCAAGCAAACAUGGAAUAACAAGAAACAGUAACACUAGGCACAGAGCCUCGUAUUAGGGCUGGGUGAGACAACCCAGGCCGAGGAAAAAUCCCCAAACAGGUGAGUUAGAGACACCCAACUCCCACUGCUAAGAGUUCCAACCCCCCACAGCAUGUGUGUAGAGGACCUAACACAGACCCAUGAAGGCUCCAAGCUCACCACUUCAGUCUCUGUGAGCCCCUAUGAGCUCUUAUGAACUCUGCUUAGUUGAGUCUGUGGGCUGUUCUCCUGGUGUCCUUGCUAGCUCCUAUAAUCCUUCCUCCACACUCACAGGGUUCUCCAAGUUCUGCCUGAUGUCUCUGUGUGUGGGUCUCUGCAUUUGCUCCUCAUAGCUGCGGGAGGAAGCCUCUCUAAUGACGAGUGGGGCAGGCACUAAUCUGUGAGUAUAGCAAGUACAGCAGGAUAUCUCUAAGAAUUAUUUCAUUGACUUUUGGUCAGUCGUAUUUGGUUUCUACCUUAGGUCUCUGAGUCAUACAGCUUUUGGCUCCUGGCCAUCCAGGCAGUGUCAGACGUGGGUCUCUCUUGGCAAGGACAUGUUAGAGCAGUCAUUCGUCAGCCACUCCCAUAAGCUCUGAGCCACCAUUGCCCCAGGACAUCUUGUAGGCAGGACAGGUGUGGGUCAAAGAUUUUGUGACUGGGUUGGUGUCCCAGUCCCACCACUGCAAGUAUAGUAUUGAGGGUCUCUUUAUUCGUGGGUCUCUUGAUAUAAGAGAUACAGCCUCCUUUAGUUUUAUGAGUCCUUCCCUCAGGUACUAGAAAUGUAGUUUGCCAUAUAUGCAGAUCCUAUCGCUUAUCCUAGUGGUCUAUUGGAUAGGGCAUGAUGUAACCCUCUCAUCUCUGUUUCAUGCAUGACUCACUUGAACCCCUAACAUAUACUCUGGCCUGACAAAACCCUUUGACUUUCUCAUUGACAGCUGGCCACCCUUUCUCUAGUUCUUGAUAUUGUCAGCAAAGAGUCCAAUUUUAGUCUCCAGAAAUCUUUCACUUCCUAGGUUCACAUGUUUAGUUCUCCAAAGAAUGUCAUGGACCCCAACUAGUUUUCCACAGUUACUGAACACUCAUUAGCAGAAUUAUGCAAACUUUUAUUCCCAUUGAGAGAAACAAGAACACAAUAAGUCCCCUUUUCCUGCUUGAGUCAUAUAUAAAGAUCAUAGAGUACUUAAUUUUCAUUAAGAAAUUUCUCUACAUGAAAACAUUACAGAUUAUAAACAAGGUAGGGAUAAUGAAAUGUGGAUAUCAUCACUUUAUUCUCC